UACGUAGGCAGCGAGCGUUGUUCGGAAUUACUGGGCGUAAAGAGUGUGUAGGCGGUGUUCCCAGUCUGUUGUGAAAUCUCCCGGCUUAACUGGGAGGGUGCAGCGGAAACUAGAAUGCUAGAGGGUGGGAGAGGUAAGCGGAAUUCCUGGUGUAGCGGUGAAAUGCGUAGAUAUCAGGAGGAACACCGGUGGCGAAGGCGGGUCUCUGGGCCGAAAUUGACGCUGAGGAGCGAAAGCGUGGGGAGCAAACAGG
rnacentral:rRNA from 1 species